rnacentral:lncRNA from 1 species
CUGCCCGCUAGACAUGUACACCUUACAAUCGUUCCAUACAACAAAUAUAGUAGACCUAUUGCAUAUAGUAUGAGAAAAACAGACCAAAACACAAAAAUUUAACAUGGACCACUGAACCAUGAAAAUGAGGUCAAGGUCACAUGACAUCUGCCCGCUAGACAUGUACACCUUACAAUCGUUCCAUACAACAAUAUAGUAGACCUAUUG